rnacentral:lncRNA from 1 species
ACAGGACUUCCUGGGAUUAUAAACAGGAUACAUACCUGGCUUUUUAAAAUAUGGAUUCUGAGGAUCAAAUUUUUGUCUUUAUUCUUUCACAGCAAGCUCUCUACCCAGCUUCAGGUUAUAAAUGAUUGUUUUGCUUUUUUUUUUUUUUUUUUAAGGUAAAACAGCAAGAUGUGGACAUAGGAGGCUACUAGAGCUAAGGCACUCACUGCUUCCUUAAGGUCUGUCUCCUUCUCCCUAGCCAGCACCCUUCCAAGGAAGAAUCUAAAGAAGAAAUGAGUCUUCUCUUUGGUGCCUUGGGUUUGAGGAUCAAAGGCUCCCAAGGAUUCUCUGAUGGACUAACUCCCAUUCUUUCCAGUCUUGUCCCCCUCCCCCCUAUAGUAUGCUUUAAGUUCAUUUACAUGCUUAAUUAAUCUAAAUUAGAACGUAAAGGACGAUGAGGCCAUGACCACAUUCAGAUCUGAAUGUCUGUGGGGACUGCAGUGCCCUUUGAAGGGAUUCACAGUCUUAGAAUUGCUUCUUUUUCUUUCAGUAAAUCUUACAACUUUCUUUCUUCCUUCCUUGCCUCCCUGAUUUUCUUUUAUUUCCCUCCCUCCCUCCUUUCCUUUCUUUCUGUCUCUUCUUUUGAGACAGGAAUUCAUGUGGUCCAGAUGGGCCUUGAACUUGCUGUAUAGCUGAGGCUGUCUUUGACUCUAUGUAGGCACUUCUUAAAUUCUGAGAUUACAGGCGUGGACCACCCACAUUGCCUGACUUUAUUGCUGUCAUUUUGAAUAUUUUCUUCUACUUCAAGUGAAAAGACAUCGAUACUCAAAGCCUCUCUGAAUGCUUCCUUCACUUGUAGAGGGUUGUACUGCCUGGGAAGUCAUGCCUCCCUGUGCCUUCCAGUCAGGAUUGCUUUUCUCACUGCAUGGCUGGGACAGUUGUCAAACACUGUCCUCAGGUAGGCUGUGGAAUGUCAUAGAAAUAUUGAGGAAAGAAAUUUGUUUUUUUCUGAAUGUGAUGAACUUUUAUGUGGAGUAUAACUGGCUCGGACAAGUCAAGUUGCCUUUCAAGCUGUGAGUGUCAGGUGUCACCAUUGGGCAUUGAAAUGAACAGUGUAUCUCAAGACUAAGCACAAAGAAGGUGCUUCUUUGUGAUACUUUAGAAACACCCUGUACUGUCUUGUGGUGAGGUCAUACAGUACUGAAAGAAAGCUCCCAACUUUAUGAUGAUACUCAUGUGUCUUCUUGAGCAUAUUGCUCAUAAGUCCCCAGGGCCCCCAGACAAGACCUCAUGUAGCCCAGGCUGUUCUUGGACUUUCUAUGCAGUAAAGACAUGCUUGAUCUUAAGCUCAUCCUGUCUCUACCUUCAGCAUGCUUGAGGUUGCAGAUAUGAGCUAUCACAUCUCACUUAUAUAGUGCUGCAAACCAAGCCCAGAGCCUGUGUAUACUCGCAAAGUACUCAACCAAUGGAGCAGUAGCCAGCCUGACUUAUUUACCAUGGAUAUUACUGUGUAUGCUGGCCAAAAUAGACUGGUGUCUAAGAAUAAUUCACUUUCUGGUUUUUAGGUUGUUCAUAACAUACAGAUUUAGACCGAUUGUAGUGGUCAAGCUACCUUAAAUACUGCUAUUCUUUGUGUGAUAUCUUUCUUCAGUAUCCCUUUCCACUGGUCAGCUUAGUACCCGAGGUAGUCUACUGGCAUGCUCUCUUACCAUGUACUCUGUAAAUUGUGCCCUUGACUGGUCAAAAUUGUGUCUUCUAUGAUCUACUACUUGUGUAUUGUAUAUAUAUAUUCAACCAGUCAUCACCAGUUUUAUUUUUAAUUAAAUGUGUGUGUGUAUGUAUGUAUGUAUGUAUGUAUGUAUGUAUGUAUGUUUGUGUGUGUGUACUUGUGCCACAGUGUGUUGAGGUUAGAGGUCAACUUUGAGAAGUUGGUUUUUUAUCUUCCAAACCUUGCUGAGGCAGGGUCUCUAACUCUGAGCAGUCAACUUCAGGCUAGCUGGCCCAAGAGCUUUCUCCUACUUGUUCUGUCUUUGCUUCCCAUCUUUUUGUUGGGAUUACAGAUGUAUGCAACCAGAUCUGGCUUUAUAAGCCGGUUCCAGGCACUUUUUCUUUUUCUUUUUUUUAAAGACAGGGAUCCUCUGUGUAGUCUUGGCUGUCCCAGAACUUGUUCUGUAGACCAGGCUGUCCUCAGACUCAGCAAUCUGCCUUCCUCUGCCUCCGUAGUGUUGAGACUAAGGGCAUGCACCAUCAUCGCCCAGCCAGUUCCAGACUUGAAUUCAGGUCACCAGACUUGCUUGGUAAACGUUGUUCCCUGUCUGAGGCAUUUCCUCGGCUCUAACUGUUUUCUUGUAUCUUAUGACUGUACUAGUACCUAGAUUCUGUAGGAGACGAGAUAAAGGGCCUGAAAGCGAUGUUAUAAUUUAUUUUGCUACAGUAGAUGUAUUUAUAUCUUCUAGAUUAUGGAUCAUUUGGCUCUGGAAACACUGGAUCCCAGAAUUAACAUCAGUUUGCCCUGAAGUAGUUUAGAGCUGGAAUAAGAUACAUUAUCCCUAAGUACUCUUUAUUUGGCAAAACUGCUUUGAGCAUUCUGGAUUUAGUUCUGAGCAUAUUUAGGAAUUUCACUGGUUAAUAAUGAUUAUCAACAUGAUCGGAUUAUGAGAACAUUAAUGAGCCACAUCCUUAGAUAUGUCUAUAAGGGUGUUUACAGAGGGAGAACAGCCACACUGAAUGUGUAGGGUUCCAUUCCAUGGGCUUGAUUCUUGAUG